GCCUGGGUGGCUCAGUCGGUUGAGCAUCCAACUUCGGCUCAGGUCACGACCUCACGGUUUGUGAGUUCGAGCCUCACUUCAGGCU
rnacentral:tRNA from 1 species